CUCAAAUGCCUCCUUGGCCAUGCUACAUGCUUUAUCGGACUGAUUCAGAAUCUCGAAGUAAAACACAGAGAAAUUGAGUGCCAGCCCUAGCCUUAUCGGAUGAGUGGGUGCAAGAUCUGCAACUGCGACAUCCUGAGCAGCUCUAUAAGCCAGCAUAGUAUCCUCAGCAGCGGCUUUCCUCUCAUCCCCAACCUUAAACUCCGCCAAAUACCUAUGGUAAUCCCCUUUCAUCUUCAAGUAGAAGACCUUAGACUCACUAGCAGAGGCGGAGGGAAUAAGAUUCGAGUCCAAAAGCUGCAAAAUACUCGCACAGACGUCGGAAAGCUCAGCCUCAACCUUUGAUCUGUAAUCCUUAACAAGAACAACAUGCUCUUCAUUCUUACGGCUCUCCUCCUUUUGCUCGAUGGAAGAGACAAUCCGCCAAGCGGCUCGAAGUGAGCCAAUCACGUUCUUGUAAGCGACAGAGAGAAGAUUUCGCUCCUCGACAGAGAGCUCAGAGCCUGGGGUUGAACCAAGAACAAGUUUCUGCAUGAACUGAACCAUCUCCUCAUAUCUUUCAGCCUGCUCGGCAAGCUUCGCUAGAUACACAUAUUGCUCGCGAGAGAGAUUUUCCGGCACGGUGGCGGCCAUUUUGAACUCCGG
rnacentral:misc_RNA from 1 species